rnacentral:tRNA from 1 species
GCCGAAGUGGUGGAAUUUGGUAGACACGCUAUCUUGAGGGGGUAGUGGACAUCGUCCGUGCCGGUUCAAGUCCGGCCUUCGGCA